ACCUGGGUGGCUCAGUCGGUUAAGCGUCUGACUUCAGCUCAGGUCAUGAUCCCAUGGUUUGUGGGUUCGAGCCCCAUGUCGGGCU
rnacentral:tRNA from 1 species